AAAAAAAAAAAAAAAAAAAAAACACCAUGUAACAGUGCAAAAAAUACUUUUAUUAGUAUAAACCCACCAAAUAUUCUUAUGUUUCUGGUGUUGUUUGUCUAGCUUAAUACGUUAGUUAAUGUUCUUUCUCUAGUAUUUAGUAACGGAUCAACUAUCGCUUGUGAGAAAUUGGAGUUUGUUUCAAUCUUACCAAGUGCCAUCUGCCGUUCGACAGACCUCUAGAUGUAUGUGGGUCCAUGGUUUGCCAUUUCAAGGGCGUAAACCCCACAUGCAUCUUCUUUUAUAUACAUGUAACAGUAUUGUAAAAGAAUCGGUCUUAGAAUUCGUCUACCAUGAAGUGUAAUGAUAUGUUUUGAUAUCGGAUCAGCGUCUGUCAGACAAAUCUGAAAACUCAUUUAUUUCUGUCAGUAUCUGUCACUAUAUCCAUAGUGAAUAAAUCAAAUAUCAAUAGUAUUUAAACCUGGUACAUAUCACGGUCAUGAUAAAAGAGAGCUAAGGAUUAAUUACAAUAAGCGGUAAGAGCACGCUUGUGCUCCGUGUUAAAAUCAAAGCAUUAUACCUAGAACAUAUCAGGGUCAUGUUACUUUAAGCGGUAAGAGCACGCUUGUACUCGAUCUGUAUUACAAGCAGUGUAAGUAUAUAAUUGAAAGUUAAUUAUCCAACUAAAAAACAACAAAGAAGAUUGAAAUUACGUGAUCUAGCGAGAAGAUUAUACGAAUUUUCCAUUGUUCCUAAUUCAUACAUAUGCAGUUUAAAAAGGUAUUCAACUUUCGGAGAAACUCGAAAAUGAAAACCUAUUCCAUCCUACCGUUAUGGAAAAAUGGCAAUUUCUAACCCAUGUUAUUUCCCGGAACAAUAAUUGUAUAAAAACUAUCUGUUUUUACAGGAGAUCCAGAUAUGUUGAAUAUCAACUGAUCUAAGAUAAAUCUCUUAAAAAUGGAUUGUAUCCAAGAAGUUUUUUUAUUUUUUUUAUUUUUUCUUUAGUCAUUUUAUAAGUAAUAACAUGAUAAAUAUUCAAGAAUUAAGAUGCGCGUUUCGUCUCAUUAGGACUCGCCAGUGGCGCUCGAAUCAAAUUUAACGGAGUCGCUAAACAACCAAAUUGAGGAGCAUUCAAAACCUUAAAAAAUAAUUUUUUUUUAGAUUAAAUACUAGUGGUGAUUUUAUUUUUUAUUUUUUUUAUUUUCAUCUAAUGCACGUGCACGUUUGAUCUUUUCAAAAUUUAAAGAAGUUUGCCUGAAGAUGCCUUUACUCAAAUUUCUAAAUAGAAUCAUUAACUUCAAAUCUCACUAAACUCUCCAGUCGUAAGUAAUGGAACGCCUACAAAAAAUCAUUAAUCUGGAAUAAUUAAUUCAUUACAGGCUACUGAUCUUCAUCAAUUACAUCAAAUGAAAGAAACGUUAUCAUUUUUAUAUCUUAUUUGCCUUUUUACAUGGUUUUAUACGUGUGUUCACUUGUAAGAGCAUAUUACAGCAGAACGUCUCUUGACCACCUGUUCACAUGGGUAAAUCGUGGAACGUUUCAAAACAUGGGUACAAAAAAAUGUAAAUCAGGGACCGUUUCUAAACAUGGGUAAAUCAGGGGCCGUUUCAAAAUUAGAUAGUUAAGCAGUAUAUCCAUUUCUCUUACACUUGAUAGACAUACACAUUUGUAUCAAAGCUUAAUCUUCUCUCAACCAUUAUUCAAAUCCCUGCAAAAUUAAUGCUGUAUAUAUAUAGGUUAAUAAAAUUUUGUACACAAGAACGACUUGCUCAUUUUAUUGACCACACACAGCGAUGGUAUAUGAAAUAUUCUUUUAUUGGAAAUUUGCAUAAAACUGCAUGUUUGUUGAUCUGUUUCAAAUGUAUAAAAAUUAAUUCCAUACAUAACCCAAAUCACGCUGUCUAUAAUAAAAUUUUGAAAGCCUUCAAUUCUUCAAAGCGCUAUUAUUAUAUUUUACAAACAACAAACGAUUUUUUAACAAUAGAUAUGAAUUUUAUGAGAUUUUGAGAUAUUAAAAUGGCUUUAGCAAUACCUUAGACAGGUGUAUAGAGAGCCUUCCGAUUGAUUUUUAAAAUGUGUUUUCUUUUGUUGUUAAAUGAUAC
rnacentral:lncRNA from 1 species